CUGAACCAGCCAUGCCGCAUGCAGGAUGAGGGCCCUCUGGGUUGUAAACUGCUUUUACACGGGAAGAAACAACGCCACUCGUGCUGACUUGACGGUACCGUAAGAAUAAGGACCGGCUAACUCCGUGCCAGCAGCCGCGGUAAUACGGAGGAUGCAAGCGUUAUCCGGAUUCAUUGGGUUUAAAGGGUGCGUAGGCGGGUCUGUAAGUCAGUGGUGAAAUCUCCCCGCUCAACUGGGAAACGGCCAUUGAUACUGUAGGUCUUGAAUUAUCUAGAGGUAACCGGAAUAUGUCGUGUAGCGGUGAAAUGCUUAGAUAUUACAUGGAACACCAAUUGCGAAGGCAGGUUACUACGAAUGCAUUGACCCUGAGGCACGAAAGCGUGGGGAUCAAACAGGAUUAGAUACCCUGGUAGUCCACGCCCUAAACGAUGGAUACUCGACUUUGGGGACAAACUAUAUGGGUCAGAGCAAAAGCUUUAAGUAUCCCACCGGGGAAGCACUACCGCAAGGGUGAAUCUCAA
rnacentral:rRNA from 1 species